GGAUUAGAUACCCUGGUAGUCCACACCGUAAACGAUGAGUGCUAGUUGUCGGCAGGCAUGCCCUCCGGUGACGCAGCUAACGCAUUAAGCACUCCGCCUGGGGAGUACGGCCGCAAGGUUAAAACUCAAAGAAAUUGACGGGGGCCCGCACAAGCGGUGGAGCAUGUGGUUUAAUUCGAAGCAACGCGCAGAACCUUACCUACCCUUGACAUGCCCGGUGCGUCCCAGAGAGAUCAGGGACUUCAUUUAGUUGGCCGGUGCACAGGUGCUGCAUGCCUGUCGUCAGCUCGUGUUG
rnacentral:rRNA from 1 species